rnacentral:misc_RNA from 1 species
GAUGAAGAACGUAGCGAAAUGCGAUACGUAAUGUGAAUUGCAGAAUUCAGUGAAUCAUCGAAUCUUUGAACGCACAUUGCGCCCGCCAGUAUUCUGGCGGGCAUGCCUGUUCGAGCGUCAUUUCAACCCUCAAGCCCUCGGGUUUGGUGUUGGGGAUCGGCGAGCCUUUCUGGCAAGCCGGCCCCGAAAUCUAGUGGCGGUCUCGCUGCAGCCUCCAUUGCGUAGUAGUAAAACCCUCGCAACUGGAACGCGGCGCGGCCAAGCCGUUAAACCCCCAACUUCUGAAUGUUGACCUCGGAUCAGGUAGGAAUACCCGCUGAACUUAAGCAUAUCAAUAAGCGGAGGA